AGGAAGUUCCUCCCUUCUCCAGAGCGCCGUCGACCCCACGCCACGCAGAGGUGAAGAUACGCAGGACGUCCUCUAAAGCAACUUCCGUGGGUGCCAGGUUGUGGGCUGGGGGCGGUGCUGACCUUGAGAGAGCGGAGGAGGCGCAGGCGCAGCACAGUUUAAACUUGAUUUUGUGAGGGGACGAACAGCGUGACAAUUAAAAGAAGAUCUGGGAAUCAAAAGCUUCCUGAGGCCUUCACCAGAAGCAGAUGCUGGUGCCGUGCUUCUACAGCCUGCAGAACUGUGAGCCAAAUAAAGUUCUUUCCUUUAUAAAUUACCCAGCGUCAGGUAUUGUUUUAUAGCAAUGCAGAACAGACUAACACAGACACACACACCAACCAAGUACAGUAUGAGAAGGGAUUAUUGGGUGCCAUUUUGGAGGUUGUCUACCACAGGAUUUUAUCUGUAUCAUUAUUCAAAUUUCGUUUUUGAAAAAUUUUGUAAGGGCACAUUUAUAGAAAUAUGAAUGCUUAAUAUUUGAUGAUAUUAGGGAAUUAAACCAUUUUUGUGUGAUAGUAAUUUUUAAAGAUUCCUUAUCUUUUAGAAAUACAUAUUGAAAUAUUUAGAGAUGUAGUGAUAUAAUGUCUGGGGUAUGCUUCAAGAUAAGAGUUGCAGAAAGUGGGUGGUAGUAUAAAUCAAGAUUGGUUAUGAGUUGAGAAUUUUUGAGUAAUAGGUAUAUGGGGACUAAGUAUUCUAUUCUUCAUACUUUUACAUGCCGUAAAUCCCCACUUAUCUGCAGGGAAUGUGUUCCAAGACCCCCAGUGGAUGCCUGAAACUGAGAAUAGUACUGGACCCUGUAUAUACUGUGUUUUUUCUUUCCUUAUUGAGAACUUUUAUGUUUUCACUUAAAGGAAGGACUUUACAGCUUCUCUUUCGCAUAUCCAAAUUGCCAGCAUCACCGCUCUUGCACUCCAAGCCAUUAUUAAGUAAAGUAAAGAACACAAACACUGUGAUACUGCUACACUUGAUCUGAUAACCAAGAAGUCUACUAAGUGACUAACAGGUGGGUAGCAUAUACAGCAUAGAUACACUGGACAAAGGGAGGACUCACAUCCUGGGCAAGAUGGAGCAGAAUGGCAGAGUUCAUCAUGCUGCUCAAAAUGAUGUGCAAUUUAAAACUAAUGAAUUAUUUCUGGAAUUUUUCAGUUAAUAUUUUUGGACAUGAGGUGACUGCAGUUAACUAAAACCAUGGAAAGCAAACCCAUAGAUAAAGGGAUACUAUGGUAUGUUUUCAUUUUCUAUAAUAAAAAGUUAAAAAGGAAAAAGACACCAUAGGAAAAUAAAAGACAAGUCACAAACUGGGAAAAGAUCUUUGCAACACAUGUGACUAUCGAAAGGAUUAGUAUUCACACUGUGUAAAGAACCACUACAAUUCAAUGAAAAUGAAGAUAAUGCUUUCCACCCCAAACAGGCAAUUCAUACAGGAGAAAACCUGAAAAGAUACCCAACCACAAGGAAAUACCAUUUCACACCCACCAGAUGAACAAAAAUGUAAAAGUCUGGCAAUAUUACAAUUCUUAUACAUUGCUGGUUGGAGUAUGAAUUGAUAUAAUCAAUUUGGGAAACAAUAUGGUAUUAUCUAGUAGCUGAAGAUGCACAUCUUCUGUGACCCAGGAAAAAUGUAUAGCAGGAGACAUGAGCAAGAAAAUUCAUAAUGGCAUUUAUAACAGUAAAACGUGGAAGAAAAUCCACUGUCCAUCAACAGUAGAGUGAUUAAAUACAUUGUAUAUGCUCAUACAGCAGAAUAUAGUGGUGGAAAAAAUAAAUUACAAGUUCAUGGACAUAGAUAAAUCUCUAACAAAAUGUUGAGCAAAUAAAAAUUCACAAAAGAAUUUUACAGUAGGAUUCCAUUUAUAUAAAGAACCAAUGAAAGUAAAUAGCCUAAGGGUACAAACAUAAGUAAAUCUAUAAAUUAAAGCAAAAGAAUGAUAAGCACAAAUUCAAGGCAGUGAUUUCCUCUAGCUACAGAGGGAAGGGAAUGAAGUAAGGAAAAGGUGAACAAGGAGCUUAAAAGUAUGAUAAUUAUAUGUGUUGGUUUGGCCAAACAGUCCUGGUUUACCUAGCACAGUUCUGGUUUGCUGAUUGCCUGGUGUAAUGAUUAAUAGCACUGUCACUCCCCAAAUUGUCAUUGUUUGGAUAAUGAAUUAUAUGCAUCCUUUUUAGAGUAAAAGUAACUUUUUUCUCCUUAAACUGGAUGGAGGGCAUGUGGGUCUUUAUCAUUCUUCCUUAUACAUGUAUUUUUAAAAUAUAAUUUAAAACUAGUCAGUAUUUUAAAAUAUAAUUUAAAACUUUAGUCAGUGUUAGUCACUGUGUUAGUGACAACACAGUAAAAAAAAAAAAUUUGUAAGAUAAAUAAAUAUAAAUAGGAUCCAAAUGAAACUCUUUUCAUCUGGGUGGAUACAGGGAUAAAUAACAUACUAUAUGCCUGGCAUUGUAUUAAGCUUGUUACUGAUAUUACUUCAUAUUCAUAGCAAGACAUUUAGGUAGGCAUUAUUAUCUCCAUUUUACACAUGAAGAAUCUAAGACACAAAGACUAUACAUAAUUUAACCAAAGUCAUAUUAUAUGUGACAGCGCAGAAUUUGAACCCAAGCAGUGUGACAUCAGACUACAUGCUCUUAACUACCAUGCCAGAGCCCAUAACAGAUUUUCUUAACCUUUUUUAUGCCACAGAUCCCUUUGACAGUCUGGUGAAGCCUAUAGAGUCCUUUUUAGAGUAAUGUCUUUUGUACAUCAAAUAUAAUGCACAGGAUUAUAAAUAAAAUCAAUUAUACUAAAAUAUGGUAAUCAAAAUAUUUAACAAAUGUAUACUAUACCUGUACUUUUUAUUAAUGCAUUAAAUAAAUAAUAAAAUCUAGCAGGUCUAAUGAAUAAUUUUGAAAUAAUAAUAAUAAUUGUAUCUUGAGAUAUCUACAAAUAUAGUAAUGUGAUAGGAAAAUGUUUGUGAUUUUGAUAAGUGAAAAAGUCACCAAAAUACUUGUAAUAACACUGUGGUUUUUUGCAUAUGUUCACAAUGGAAAGAAAUCCUAAAUCUUACUUCGAAGUUAGCAAGAAUUACAAUAUUUUUCCCACCCCAAUUCAUGGCCCUCUACUUUAUGGUCUUAUUUCAUAGGCUUUCUGACAUGUUUUGCUUCAAAGAGGUCCUAUUCCCCAUCCCAUUUCCUAUCUUCUGGUUUGGGAUUACACUCAAGAUGUGAUAUACAGAUAGAUUAGUUUAUUAGAAAGAAAAUAUUUUUCCACAUGGCGAACUUUAGUGGAGGCUAACAAAUCAGAAUGUGCUAAAAUAGCCAUGUGUACAUAUAGACAAUGGGAAGCUUGGAACUGCUUUAGCAUUUUAUACAAAAGACUUAAAAGUAAUUUCAGCUGGGCACUGUGGCUCGGGCCUGUAAUCCCAGCACUUUGGGAGGCUAAAGUGAGAGGAUUGCUUGAGGCCAGGAGUUCAAGACCAGCCUGGGCAACAUAGUGAGACCCUCCCCCCAUCUGU
rnacentral:lncRNA from 1 species